AAAAGAGACCUUCAACAAGACCAGGCCUGCUGACUGUUCCCCAUAGAAGAACUAGGGGCACACAUCUCUCUCAGUUGAGUGUAAUUAUGCCUGAGCUCUGGAGGUUUGUAGAGGGUGGAGAGUCGAUGAAGUGGGGUCCCCAUCUAUGCAUCCGUGAGGCUGUCGCUCAUGUUGGAGUUAGAUGCGACGUGACUGUUUAGGGGUCACUCCUGCUCCUUGAGAAGAGCAGCAAAUACGGCAGCUCCAGGGCAGGGCAGAGAGCAAGGAGCAAGGAGCAGAUUCUUGGCAUCGGGGCUGUGCAGUUCAGCUAGAGAACUGCAAAUGGACCUGACGCCAUAGCCACCAGAGGGCAGCAGAGUCAAGGCUUUGGUGCAGCUGGACUGAGUUGGACUGAGACUCCUCUUCUUGGGUAGACUGCCAGGGUGACCCAGGGGACCGCAGUGCAGGCCCCACCUGUGAUCUUGGCAAGCUCCCAUCCCUGGGCCUCCUGAGGUUCAGCUUCCCCUUUGUAUCAGAUGGGAAGACUGAGAUCCUGAAACCUAGACAGAUAGCUGACAGUCACGAUGUCCUCGGUGUCAGAGGCAGGAUCUGAACCCAGUCCAGAGGGUUAACUGCUUUCCCAAUCUACAGGCCAAGAAGACACAGAGAGCCGGGGACAGAAACGGAUUGAUGGUUGGGACGGGGGCCUUGCUGACGGUAUGGGACGCCAAGAGUCUGCCAUGCGAGUGGCUUGGACUGGUGUUUGCCAUGAAGAGGCAGGCGUUUCUCCACACACAAGCAAAGCCCAGGAGGCAGGGUGGCAGAGGCCUGGCCUCUCCCUGUGACAAGCUGCUUCAAGGAGGGGGAUGUGAAGAGCAGUCUCCCCAGCACCAGGGGCUCCAGGCAAGAUUCCUCAGAGGUAACCCACGUGGAGAAGAAUCCAGCCCACUCCCUUCUGCUCCAUUCGGAAACUGUUCCCAGAGCCUCAGCCCCUCUCCUGGGAUUGGGUUCCUCGGUGACUGAGCCAGCAGGCUCCAAAGCUGAAGCUGGAACCAUCAUGGACUCCAUCCGAUUGUGGACCUGCCUCACAGGUGUUUGCUAACCUCAUUCUGUACCAGACAUGCUGGAAAGAAAUACAUUUUAAAACCACGUGCAAU